rnacentral:tRNA from 1 species
CUUUAAGAAGCUUUAAUAGCACUAGCCUUUUAAGCUAGAGAUGGGACCGACCAGCCCCCUUAUAGA